GAGAGUGAGGAAUGGCAUGUGGGAAAGGAGCCACAGGUUGAGAUUGAACCAAGGCCGCCAUCUUGGAGGACGAUAGCCUCAACCAUUCGGCUGGUUAUUAAGUAUUCUGCUGUACAACAAACAUGAAGUCAGUCUGCAGCCUCCUGAAGUGGAUCAAUAAAUCAGCCGCUCAAUACAUCCUCAUCAUUUUUCUUGUGUCGGAGGCAGACAGCUGCGGAAACAGAACAGAAACAUGAAGAGAAAUGCCAUGUUGACAUUUUGCAGAUAGAGAACGUUCCCCCCACGGCAGCAAGUGAUAUUAUGUUAGAUGAGAAAUGAAGAAUGUGUAAUUACCUGAUGGUACGAGGCGACAAAACUGUCCGCUGGCUGCACAGAAAUCCUGCAGUAAUGAGAAAAGAAGAAAUGUAACCAUUGUUACACCUACACUCAACUGGAGAUGCUAAUCAAGAUCCUUGGUGCAAAAAAAUAUCACGACUGGGUUCACAAUAUGAUUUUAAUGUUUUUUGUUUUUUUUCAUGUUUUUGUUUAAAUUCUCAGACAAUAGAAUAAGCCAAUGUCCAUAUUUUUCUUCAUAAAUAAUAGUAAUACAUUUUAAUUUUGAGAUUGUAAAGAUUCUAAUAAAACAAAGCAGAUUUAUUUUUCUUCAUAAAGAAUGACACCUUACUAAAAGCUUUCGCGAUCUAUGCCCUAUUGUUUACGGUGAGAAGGCAGACUCAGAGGGCAGAACAAACACCUAGCUGUGGGAGUGUCAACCUCUUGGGGGAGGGGUUACUGCCCUUUGUGAUAUCAUCAAGGGAAAAUCUUAAAACGGCCUGUUUGAGCACACAUUUUCUGAAAAGUGGAGCAGACAAAAGACAGAGGAUAGACUUUCAUCAUAAUUUUGGGUUUGUAGACAAGCUAGGGCCACAUAUCAGUGUAAGGCAACCAUGGAAAUUAGCACUUUGCAUAAUGUGACUUUCUUCCUAUUUUCAUAAUUUCUAUUAACUUCACUAUGAAUGCUUAUUUUUU